GUGAGGAAUAUUGGACAAUGGGCGCAAGCCUGAUCCAGCCAUGCCGCGUGCAGGAAGACGCAUCUAUGGUGUGUAAACUGCUUUUGUCAGGGACGAAUAAUGACGGUACCUGGCGAAUAAGCCACGGCUAACUACGUGCCAGCAGCCGCGGUAAUACGUAGGUGGCAAGCGUUGUCCGGAUUUACUGGGUGUAAAGGGCGAGUAGGCGGAUUUGCAAGUCAGGUGUGAAAGCCCGGGGCUUAACCCCGGGUCUGCAUUUGAAACUGCGGAUCUUGAGUAUCGGAGAGGCAGGCGGAAUUCCCGGUGUAGCGGUGGAAUGCGUAGAUAUCGGGAGGAACACCAGUGGCGAAGGCGGCCUGCUGGACGACAACUGACGCUGAGGAGCGAAAGCGUGGGGAGCAAACAGGAUUAGAAACCCGAGUAGUCC
rnacentral:rRNA from 1 species